CCCUGUCCCUCCCGAUCCCCCCUAGAGCCAGGAGGUCCCGUGUCACCCAGCGCUGGAGGACCCACAGCCCACACCACCAAGCUCCCUAUUGUGGGCGCCUGCACUACCCAGUUGCUGUUUGCCUGCCUAGAUUUUCCUCCAAGAACCAAAAUGUGAAUAAAGUGAUAUUUUAGCCAAACAUUUCUGUGUCAGUUAAGAAGAUGGCAAUUCGUUCCAGACUGUAAAUUCUCUUUAACAACUCCCUAAGGAGUAUUUUUUGGAAAGCACCCAGUUUCUCCAGUUCGCAGUGCUGACCCUCGGCCCCCCAAGAAGAGACAAUACACCAACUCGCGUGGCGGGGUUCUGGACACGGAAGACUCCUGUCUCAAACACAAGCAUCCCACCAAGGCUGUCAUUUGUGUGCAUAUUUAACUCACUAGGUAUUGCAAACCACCCCAAGCAUUCCAGAAAAGGGGGUCAAAUAGAAUGCAUCACUCAAUGUAUUCAUAUACAUCCUUUAAAAAUGUUAUUGUAAAAUGUUUUAUGAUGUGUAAGUCAAAAGAAUCUCUCCCACUCCCUCUUUUUGCUUGUCACUCCUCCAUACCCAAUGCUGUUCUGUCCUGCCAAAGAAAUCAGUUGUGAAGGGAACCUCAAUGGAAUUGGACAGAUGUAUGUUGCUGUUACUUGGAAAACUAGACGUCAAUAACCAGGGCCACAGAAAGACACAGUGGUGGUAACUCUGUAAAAGUUUAUGUGCACAUACAAAGACAAAAGUAGAAUUCCAAACAGGAAAAGAGCUUGCUAGCCUCCAGUGCUGGGAGAUUGAAUGAUUGUAUGCUGCUUUGAUUUCCGUUAACACAGGCAACUGUCCAAUUAAAAAAAAUAAGAACUCUGCAGUGCAAAUUA